AUCAUCUGGAAAGAUGAAUCAAAGAAGGUAAUAAUCCUGUAGUCGAAAAUGUUGUCUCUCUUGAGUGGAUCCUGAGUACGACGGAGCACGUGAAAUUCCGUCGGAAUCUGGGAGGACCAUCUCCUAAGGCUAAAUACUCUCUAGUGACCGAUAGUGAACCAGUACCGUGAGGGAAAGGUGAAAAGCACCCCGGAAGGGGAGUGAAAUAGAACCUGAAACCGUGUGCUUACAAGUAGUCAGAGCCCGUUAAUGGGUGAUGGCGUGCCUUUUGUAGAAUGAACCGGCGAGUUACGAUUUGAUGCAAGGUUAAGCAGUAAAUGUGGAGCCGUAGCGAAAGCGAGUCUGAAUAGGGCGUUUAGUAUUUGGUCGUAGACCCGAAACCAGGUGAUCUACCCUUGGUCAGGUUGAAGUUCAGGUAACACUGAAUGGAGGACCGAACCGACUUACGUUGAAAAGUGAGCGGAUGAACUGAGGGUAGCGGAGAAAUUCCAAUCGAACCUGGAGAUAGCUGGUUCUCUCCGAAAUAGCUUUAGGGCUAGCCUCAAGUGAUGAUUAUUGGAGGUAGAGCACUGUUUGGACGAGGGGCCCCUCUCGGGUUACCGAAUUCAGACAAACUCCGAAUGCCAAUUAAUUUAACUUGGGAGUCAGAACAUGGGUGAUAAGGUCCGUGUUCGAAAGGGAAACAGCCCAGACCACCAGCUAAGGUCCCAAAAUAUAUGUUAAGUGGAAAAGGAUGUGGCGUUGCCCAGACAACUAGGAUGUUGGCUUAGAAGCAGCCAUCAUUUAAAGAGUGCGUAAUAGCUCACUAGUCGAGUGACACUGCGCCGAAAAUGUACCGGGGCUAAACAUAUUACCGAAGCUGUGGAUUGUCCUUUGGACAAUGGUAGGAGAGCGUUCUAAGGGCGUUGAAGCAUGAUCGUAAGGACAUGUGGAGCGCUUAGAAGUGAGAAUGCCGGUGUGAGUAGCGAAAGACGGGUGAGAAUCCCGUCCACCGAUUGACUAAGGUUUCCAGAGGAAGGCUCGUCCGCUCUGGGUUAGUCGGGUCCUAAGCUGAGGCCGACAGGCGUAGGCGAUGGAUAACAGGUUGAUAUUCCUGUACCACCUAUAAUCGUUUUAAUCGAUGGGGGGACGCAGUAGGAUAGGCGAAGCGUGCGAUUGGAUUGCACGUCUAAGCAGUAAGGCUGAGUAUUAGGCAAAUCCGGUACUCGUUAAGGCUGAGCUGUGAUGGGGAGAAGACAUUGUGUCUUCGAGUCGUUGAUUUCACACUGCCGAGAAAAGCCUCUAGAUAGAAAAUAGGUGCCCGUACCGCAAACCGACACAGGUAGUCAAGAUGAGAAUUCUAAGGUGAGCGAGCGAACUCUCGUUAAGGAACUCGGCAAAAUGACCCCGUAACUUCGGGAGAAGGGGUGCUCUUUAGGGUUAACGCCCAGAAGAGCCGCAGUGAAUAGGCCCAAGCGACUGUUUAUCAAAAACACAGGUCUCUGCUAAACCGUAAGGUGAUGUAUAGGGGCUGACGCCUGCCCGGUGCUGGAAGGUUAAGAGGAGUGGUUAGCUUCUGCGAAGCUACGAAUCGAAGCCCCAGUAAACGGCGGCCGUAACUAUAACGGUCCUAAGGUAGCGAAAUUCCUUGUCGGGUAAGUUCCGACCCGCACGAAAGGCGUAACGAUUUGGGCACUGUCUCAACG
rnacentral:rRNA from 1 species